CCUCCCAGGUGGCUGUGGCCGGCGUGGCAGAGCGUUUUGUUUGGCGUGGCUGUGACUUCUUUCAGUCGGACGCAAUAGUUGUUGUUUGUGGCAGCCGUCGAGGCACCUGUUUCCACAUAUCCAGCGCACCUGGUUGCUGGCGCUGUGGGAGACUGAUUGUGCCGCUGGAUUUCUUCCGGUUGCAUUCGCGUAUCCGUUUGGUGCCGAGGGCCUGAGGCAGCAGUUGAUCCCUGGUGGUGGUGUUCUUCAUGAUUCCUUUUUGUUGGUGUGCGGUGUCACAGGUGGCUAGUUUUAUGGACCUUUCCCUUUUUGAUUUUCCCUGCUGCUGUGGUAAGCCCUCGCCCUGUUUGCACUCCUAGGCCCAAGUGCUAGUUUUAUGGCGGCUAACCCCUUAGUGCCUGAUCUGUAGUUUUCUUUUUGGUAUUUCAAUUUUGUUAAUUAUUUGUGCUAAAUAAAGUUAGUGUUUCUUUUAAACCCUCCUACACUGUCUCUUGCCAGAUUGUU